rnacentral:rRNA from 1 species
AUUGAACGCUGGCGGCAGGCCUAACACAUGCAAGUCGAGCGGAUGAAGGGAGCUUGCUCCUGGAUUCAGCGGCGGACGGGUGAGUAAUGCCUAGGAAUCUGCCUGGUAGUGGGGGAUAACGUCCGGAAACGGGCGCUAAUACCGCAUACGUCCUGAGGGAGAAAGUGGGGGAUCGUCGGACCUCACGCUAUCAGAUGAGCCUAGGUCGGAUUAGCUAGUUGGUGGGGUAAAGGCCUACCAAGGCGACGAUCCGUAACUGGUCUGAGAGGAUGAUCAGUCACACUGGAACUGAGACACGGUCCAGACUCCUACGGGAGGCAGCAGUGGGGAAUUUUGGACAAUGGGCGAAAGCCUGAUCCAGCCAUGCCGCGUGUGUGAAGAAGGUCUUCGGAUUGUAAAGCACUUUAAGUUGGGAGGAAGGGCAGUAAGUUAAUACCUUGCUGUUUUGACGUUACCAACAGAAUAAGCACCGGCUAACUUCGUG